rnacentral:lncRNA from 1 species
AGUAAGUUAAAGUUUUGCCCUAGCUCGCUACUCACUAGUCGCUCUCAUCCCAUAUCUGAACUUCAAUUUCUCAGCCUCUUCUAAUCUUCUUGGCUUCUUGCUUCUCGAUCUGAACUUCAGUUUCUCGCUACUCGCUCCCUCUCCGUUUCAAUCUCCGCUCCGGCCUUCGCCUCUCGGCUUCUGUCGCGCCGUCUCUCACCGCAGUCUCCGGCCUUCGCCUCUCGGCUUCUGUCUAUUUUUGGUAUUUUCACACACCUCUGUUUUCUAGCAUCAACAUGUUCUUUUUAAUUUAUCUAGUUCUUAUUUUCUUUUUGGUGGAACAUGGCAUACACAUAUCCUGGCCCUGCAAAAUUCCAUAAAACUAGGGUUUUUUGGAACUGUAAGAAUUAGGAUGCCUAAAGAAAUGCUAAAUUAAGGUCAGUAGGUCACCCAUAAUUCUAUUUUUUGGUUUAACUGAUAAGUUCUUUGUUAAGGCCUAAGGGUCACCUGUAAUUCUAGUUUGUUUUUAUAAAUAAUAAAGUUAAGUUUUAAUCAAAUCCUGAUCCUCCAAUCCCCUUUAGGCUUAAAAUAAUUGAACAUUGGUAAGAAGAGAGAAUUAAUUACUUUUCAUUAGACAUAUUCAUCUCUCCUUAAUUCUUGGGACACACAGGUUAUGAAUAUGAUUUGAUCCGAAUGAAUGCUUCCACAAUCAAUGUCCGCAAGGAAAUAAAAAGCACAAGAAAACUACUCUUUAUAUUAUUAUUAUUAUUAUUAUUAUUAUUAUUAUUAUUAUUAUUAUAUAUGUAUAGGUAAUGAUUCAUAAUAUCUAUAAUUUGAUUGACUUAAUAAUUUGAUUUGUUUGACAUUUGUAGAUGAUAUCAAGAAGUAUUUUAAAUGAUUUGCACAUGGUGGAUGAUACGGACGAGCCUAACCUUGAUGACCUUUAUCCAAUUAGUCAUGGGAGAGAGACAAACGACAGUGUUCCCACCAAUAUAGAUCCUGUGUCAAAAGAAACCACGACAAGUACAAAAAUUACGGGACACUCGGAAAGUGUAAAGAUGGCAAGAAAAAGGAUGGCACCUAGAUCCAAGGUGUGGACUGAGGGGCACUUCAUUCCCGUUAAAGAUAAGGAUGGUAAUAUCAUCAAAGGUAAGUGUAUUUAUUGUGAAAAAGAAUUAGUUGCUUAUUCAUCUUCAAAUGGCACUACUUCUUUAAGAAAUCACUUUUGAACUUGUAAAAAAAAUCCUAUCAACAUGGACAAAGCUCAACCCCAACUUGUAGGGAUCAAAGAGGGUGAGGGGGAGGGAGGGGCAUGUGAGGGUACACUCACUUCUUGGAGGUUUGACCAAGAAGCGGUUAGGGCAGCUGUAGUUCACCAUCUUAUUGUAGAUGAACUUCCUUUCAAACAUGUUGAGAAUGAGGGUUUUAAAAGACUUAUGCAAGUUGUUUGUCCUAGGUUUCAAUUGCCUUCACGUUUUACAUUUGCUAGAGAUUGUAUUCGUUUAAAUGAGAAUGAGAAGAGUAAGUUGAAAACAAUCCUUAGAAAACAUUAUGAACGUGUGUGCCUCACAACUGACUCUUGGACUUCUAAUCAAUGCUUGAAUUAUAUGUGUGUUACUGCUCAUUUUAUUGAUGAAAACUGGAAAUUGUAUAAGAAAAUCUUGAAUUUUCGAACCAUCACAAGUCAUAAGGGGAAGGACAUUGGGGAAAUGGUUGAGUCUUGUCUACAAGAGUGGGGACUUUCUAAAGUUAUGACACUUACUGUAGAUAAUGCUAGCUCAAAUGAUACUGCGGCGGCUUACUUGAGAGAGAGAUGUACAUACUGGAAAACCAAUGUCUUAGGUGGUAAAUUCAUUCACAUGAGAUGUAUAGCUCACAUUAUUAAUCUUGUUGUGAAUGAUGGGUUGAAGUUGAUUGAGAAAUCUAUUGAGACAAUUAGGCGUGCAGUGAAGUAUGCAAAACAAUCUCCGACUAGGGUCAAGUCAUUUAAGGACUGUAUUAAGUAUUGUGGACUUGAAGAUAAGAAAGGCUUAAGUCUAGAUUGCCCAACUAGAUGGAACUCAACUUACUUGAUGUUAAGUUCGGCCUUAAAAUAUAAAGAAGCUUUUGAUCGAUUUGGGUUUAAAGAUCGUGGCUUUGAAAAAGAAAUGGGGGGUCAAAAUAUUCCAACGGACUCGGAUUGGAAUAGGGCUAAAUUGUUUGUUGGAUUCUUAGAACAUUUUUAUAAUCUCACUGUGCGUAUUUCGGGCUCAUCUUAUGUCACAUCAAAUAAUGCAUUUAUUGAACUUUGCCACACUUAUGUUAUUUUGAAUGACUGGGAAAGAAGCAAUGAUAGAGAAUUGCAAAAAAUGGCCAAGGCAAUGAAAAUGAAAUAUGAUAAGUAUUGGGGAAAUGUGGCAAAAAUGAAUAUGUUGUUAUAUAUUCCCGUUGUGCUUGAUCCUCGGUAUAAGUUGAGUUUUGUUCAAUUUGGGUUAGAAAGAAUGUAUGGAAAUGGUAAAAUUGAAGUUGAAAAUCCAUUGGAGGGUUUGGAAAUAGAUUUUCAUUUUGAUAUUAAUAAUGAAUAUAGGGAUUUAGAAUAUCAAUCAAGUAAUCAGGCCACUGGGAUGGAGAUUGUCGAUAGUGUGAAGAGAUCAAUGGAAGAUUUGUUUAAUGAGUACAGGAAAAGUAUUCAACUCAAGAAAGUGGAAAAUCAAGUUUAAGUAACAUGUCAAUGUCAUCCCAAGGUUCUAGUUCAAUGGAAUCCCAAAAUACAAAUAAAAUUACAGAAGAGUUCAAAAAGCGUCAGACCAUAGUUAUACAUGGAGACAAAUCUGAAUUGGACAAGUAUUUAAGUGAAGAUGUGGAAGAAGUUGAUGAGACUUUUGAUAUUUUGGGGUGGUGGAAAGGUAAUAGUGCAAGAUUCCCUAUCCUUGCACGUAUUGCCCAUGAUGUGUUGGCUAUUCCUAUUUCUAUCGUUGCUUCGGAGUUCGCAUUUAGCACGGGGGGACGCAUUCUUGAUGCAUUUAGGAGUUCAUUGUCUCCUAAUAUGGUGGAAGCUCUCAUAUGUUCUCAAGAUUGGAUUAAAGUGAAGAAUCGUAUUAAUGUGGAGGAAGAUAUCGACUUUGCCGAUAAAUUUGAGUGUGGUAAUAAUUAUUUUUUUUGUUUGUUUUAUUGGACCUUGAUCCAAUUGUUUGUUGAAAAUAAUGUGUUUAAUUAUAUUUUUCAAUUUUCAGCAAUAUCCAACUUGAGCCUUGUUACUAAUGAUGCCAAUGUUUUUGUGACUCAACUUGACUAAUGAGGUAAAUUCGUCUCUCGAUUCAUCAUUGCAAUUCAAUGUUUAUGACCAUAUGUUAUAUGCCAACUGAAAUAUAAUGGAGUGGGAGAUUGGUUUGGUUUGUUGUUCUUAUUUUUACUUUCUUUUUCAACAAAAAGGGGGGAAAAUCUUAUAAAUGCUGCUUUUGCUUGAUGUUUCCUAUUGCACUCUGCAGACCAGUGGGCAGUGGCUCAUUAUAUGGUGCUUUGAUUGGGUAUGUCCUGGCUUUAAUGUUGCUAAUUUUCUAGGUGAGACUAAUUUCAUUAAUUCUACAUUGUUGUUCUCAUUUAGAAAUGUUCCAUGUAACCUUUGUUCAUUUAGAAAUGUUCCAUGUAACCUUUGUCCUUUGUUCUCAUUGACCUUUGUCCUUUGUUCAUUUAGAAAUGUUCCAUGUAGCCUUCCCUCUGUACAUGACAAAUCAAGGCCUAGAAACAAAUCUCUUAUUUUCAAUUUGCACGUUGAAGCUCAUUCUCUGGUUUUAUCUUUUCUAGGCUGCAAAGUUACAAAACAGGAAAUGCCAAGAAUUAGGGACAGUAAGAAAUCAGAUAAUUACAAAACAGGAAAUGCCGAGGUUGUAUAGUAUUGUCCUCUAAAAUAAAUUAAUUGAAGCAGGCAACUUGAGAUGCAGUCAGUUACAUGGAACAUUUGUUCAGAGCAGUUGGCCCAUUUCUAAAUGAGAACAAAGGACAAAGGUUACAUUCUACAUUGUUGUUCUCAUUUGUUCAGAACAUUUGUUCAGAUAAUUUUAUUUGUAAUAUAUUUGUUCAGAACAUUUGUCUCAUUUGUUCAGAACAUUUGUUUUUAGAACAAAGGACAAAGGUUACCAUCAAUAUAUUUGUUUUCAGACUGAUUUGCUUAUAGUAAUUGGAUCUUAUUGCUUAUAGUAAUUGAUUAUAACACAUGUAUUUAAGUCUGAUUUGCUUGGAUCUUAUUGCUUAUAGUAAUUAUUUUCAGUCUGAUUUGCUUGUAAUUGCUAUGUUUUCAGUCUGAUUUGCUUGGUCUGCUGCCGCCCGCCUGCCUGCUAGUUGUUGCUGGCCUGCCUGCUAGUUGCUGUUGCUGCUGUCUGCAUGCUAAUCUUUUUGUUGCUUUGUUAAGUCAUAAAUUUGUUAAGUAGAUUAAUUUCAAAGGACUGCUGGACUGGACAGUUAAUUUUUGUUGGCUUGUUGUUGCUGACUUGCUGUAUUUUGGACAUUUAAUUUGGCUUGUUUUGUUAAGUCAUAAAUUUCAUGUUGGCUUGUUGUUGCUGCUUGACAAAUUAAGUUAACAGUUGGCAGUUACUGCCUACUAGACAGUUGAUUUGUUAAACAGGUAACAGGUUAUGUUGGAUGAUAUUUCGGUUUUUUACUCGAAUACCCGAAAUUAUAAUUCGGUAGUUCGGUAUUCGGUUCUUUUCAAAUUUUGGUUGUUAUUUCGAGAAAAUUAAUUUUUUAUUCAUAAAAUCUGGGGUUUCACAAUCUCCUCUCCUUGUGGAAUUUCGCCCUCGAAAUUUACGUACGUACCUGGUAUGCCGAACAGGUGAGGAUACCUUGACUUCAUUUCAGAUUCUAACUCUUGAGGUAUAACCCUUGAGUGUUGGAUACGAUUCUUCUUAUCCAAGAUUUUAACACGAGAUCUCAUACGUUAAAUCAUC